rnacentral:ribozyme from 16 species
UUUUUUUUUUUUUUUUUUUUUUUUUUAUUUUUUUUUAUAUUU